GCCGAAGUAGCUCAGUUGGUAGAGCAACUGAUUUGUAAUCAGUAGGUCGCGGGUUCGAGUCCCAUCUUCGGCU
rnacentral:tRNA from 4 species